CAACAGUUGACUUGGAUACACCAAACAAAUAAACAAAGAAGAAUAGGGGUAAAUUAAGUUUCAAUCGCAUAAGGGUCAAAACAAAACACUGAAAAGGAGACAUCUUUGGUUCAGCAUUCAAAAAUCCCACCAAGAAGUUGAACACCACAAGUAAUUUUGCAUAGCUGGGGAGGCUAGUAAGUUCUUGCACCAUACUGUCAUUUCCCUUGAAUACCUCCUGAUGUAAUGCUCACAACUCUGGUCUUCAACUGUUGAAUCUCUGCUCGGAGUCGCGCACACUCAUCAGUCAACAGAGAAAGGGUGGAUCAGCAGGCUGCAUUUGAGCAUGGUUCAACGAUGUCAGGGGCUUCAACACAGUAGUUGUGCUCCUCCACUGUGGUGACCAGUUCCUCUGCAUCAGUCUCAAAGGUGGUAGAAGCAGCAAGUUCAUGGUCAUCGCGCUCCCUUUUUUUAGCAGGUUCAUGGUCAUCGCGCUCCCUUUUUUUACGCUUCAUGAGCUGCGUCUUCUCAAACCUGCUGCUGACAUAGAUCUGCCUCUGCCUCUUGCUCUCAGAGGUGUGGGCAAACAGGCUGGGCACAUAGUCAGGGCUGAAGGGGUUGUUAUCUUUCCUUCCUAAGAUUCAAAACAAAAACAAAACGUGUGAGGUUGAGGUACUAUCAAACCUGACCAAAUUCCACU